rnacentral:rRNA from 1 species
AGAGUUUGAUCCUGGCUCAGAACGAACGCUGGCGGCAGGCCUAACACAUGCAAGUCGAGCGAGACCUUCGGGUCUAGCGGCGGACGGGUUAGUAACGCGUGGGAACGUACCCUUUUCUAAGGAAUAGCCACUGGAAACGGUGAGUAAUGCCUUAUACGCCCUUCGGGGGAAAGAUUUAUCGGAGAAGGAUCGGCCCGCGUUAGAUUAGAUAGUUGGUGGGGUAAUGGCCUACCAAGUCUACGAUCUAUAGCUGGUUUGAGAGGAUGAUCAGCAACACUGGGACUGAGACACGGCCCAGACUCCUACGGGAGGCAGCAGUGGGGAAUCUUAGACAAUGGGCGCAAGCCUGAUCUAGCCAUGCCGCGUGAGUGAUGAAGGCCUUAGGGUCGUAAAGCUCUUUCGCCUGUGAAGAUAAUGACUGUAGCAGGUAAAGAAACCCCGGCUAACUCCGUGCCAGCAGCCGCGGUAAUACGGAGGGGGUUAGCGUUGUUCGGAAUUACUGGGCGUAAAGCGCGCGUAGGCGGACAUUUAAGUCAGAGGUGAAAUCCCAGGGCUCAACCCUGGAACUGCCUUUGAUACUGGGUGUCUUGAGUUCGAGAGAGGUGAGUGGAAUUCCGAGUGUAGAGGUGAAAUUCGUAGAUAUUCGGAGGAACACCAGUGGCGAAGGCGGCUCACUGGCUCGAUACUGACGCUGAGGUGCGAAAGUGUGGGGAGCAAACAGGAUUAGAUACCCUGGUAGUCCACACCGUAAACGAUGAAUGCCAGUCGUCGGGCAGUAUACUGUUCGGUGACACACCUAACGGAUUAAGCAUUCCGCCUGGGGAGUACGGUCGCAAGAUUAAAACUCAAAGGAAUUGACGGGGGGCCCGCACAAGCGGUGGAGCAUGUGGUUUAAUUCGAAGCAACGCGCAGAACCUUACCAACCCUUGACAUCCUGUGCUACAUCCAGAGAUGGAUGGUUCCCUUCGGGGACGCAGUGACAGGUGCUGCAUGGCUGUCGUCGGCUCGUGUCGUGAGAUGUUCGGUUAAGUCCGGCAACGAGCGCAACCCACAUCUUUAGUUGCCAGCAGUUCGGCUGGGCACUCUAGAGAAACUGCCCGUGAUAAGCGGGAGGAAGGUGUGGAUGACGUCAAGUCCUCAUGGCCCUUACGGGUUGGGCUACACACGUGCUACAAUGGUAGUGACAAUGGGUUAAUCCCAAAAAGCUAUCUCAGUUCGGAUUGGGGUCUGCAACUCGACCCCAUGAAGUCGGAAUCGCUAGUAAUCGCGUAACAGCAUGACGCGGUGAAUACGUUCCCGGGCCUUGUACACACCGCCCGUCACACCAUGGGAGUUGGGUUCACCCGAAGGCCGUGCGCCAACCAGCAAUGGGGGCAGCGGACCACGGUGAGCUCAGCGACUGGGGUGAAGU